ACACUCCUACGGGAGGCAGCAGUGGGGAAUAUUGGACAAUGGGCGCAAGCCUGAUCCAGCCAUGCCGCGUGAGUAAUGAAGGCCCUAGGGUUGUAAAGCUCUUUCACCGGUGAAGAUAAUGACGGUAACCGGAGAAGAAGCCCCGGCUAACUUCGUGCCAGCAGCCGCGGUAAUACGAAGGGGGCUAGCGUUGUUCGGAUUUACUGGGCGUAAAGCGCACGUAGGCGGACUAUUAAGUCAGGGGUGAAAUCCCGGGGCUCAACCCCGGAACUGCCUUUGAUACUGGUAGUCUUGAGUUCGAGAGAGGUGAGUGGAAUUCCGGGUGUAGAGGUGAAAUUCGUAGAUAUUCGGAGGAACACCAGUGGCGAAGGCGGCUCACUGGCUCGAUACUGACGCUGAGGUGCGAAAGCGUGGGGAGCAAACAGGAUUAGAAACCCUGGUAGUCCC
rnacentral:rRNA from 1 species